UCUGACGGAGCACGCCGCGUGAGUGAUGAAGGCUUUCGGGUCGUAAAACUCUGUCNGUUNGGGAAGAACAAGUGCUAGUUGAAUAAGCUGGCACCUUGACGGUACCUAACCAGAAAGCCACGGCUAACUACGUGCCAGCAGCCGCGGUAAUACGUAGGUGGCAAGCGUUAUCCGGAAUUAUUGGGCGUAAAGCGCGCGCAGGUGGUUUCUUAAGUCUGAUGUGAAAGCCCACGGCUCAACCGUGGAGGGUCAUUGGAAACUGGGAGACUUGAGUGCAGAAGAGGAAAGUGGAAUUCCAUGUGUAGCGGUGAAAUGCGUAGAGAUAUGGAGGAACACCAGUGGCGAAGGCGACUUUCUGGUCUGUAACUGACACUGAGGCGCGAAAGCGUGGGGAGCAAACAGGAUUAGAUACCCUGGUAGUCCACGCCGUAAACGAUGAGUGCUAAGUGUUAGAGGGUUUCCGCCCUUUAGUGCUGAAGUUAACGCA
rnacentral:rRNA from 1 species